UACGUAGGGACCAAGCGUUGUUCGGAUUUACUGGGCGUAAAGGGCGCGUAGGCGGCGCGGUAAGUCACUUGUGAAAUCUCUGAGCUUAACUCAGAACGGCCAAGUGAUACUGCAGUGCUAGAGUGUGGAAGGGGCAAUCGGAAUUCCCGGUGUAGCGGUGAAAUGCGCAGAUAUCGGGAGGAACACCGGUGGCGAAGGCGGCUCUCUGGGCCUGUCCUGACGCUCAUGCGCGAAAGCUAGGGGAGCAAACAGG
rnacentral:rRNA from 1 species